CCACAUCACGUUGAAACACUGGUUCUUGUAUGAUCACAAAAGUUAAGCAACGUUGAGCCUGGUCAGUACCUGGAUGGGUGACCAUUUGGGAAUACCAAGUGUUGUAAG